AUUGAACGCUGGCGGCAUGCCUAACACAUGCAAGUCGAACGGCAGCACAGUGCGUAGCAAUACGCAUGGGUGGCGAGUGGCGGACGGGUGAGGAAUGCAUCGGAAUCUACCCAGUAGCGGGGGAUAACCUGGGGAAACUCAGGCUAAUACCGCAUACGACCUAUGGGUGAAAGCGGGGGACCGUAAGGCCUCGCACUAUUGGAUGAGCCGAUGCCGGAUUAGCUAGUUGGUAGGGUAACGGCCUACCAAGGCGACGAUCCGUAGCUGGUCUGAGAGGACGAUCAGCCACACCGGAACUGAGACACGGUCCGGACUCCUACGGGAGGCAGCAGUGGGGAAUAUUGGACAAUGGGGGAAACCCUGAUCCAGCAAUGCCGCGUGUGUGAAGAAGGCCUGCGGGUUGUAAAGCACCUUCGGAGGGGACAAAAAGCGUCGUUCUAACAAAGCGGCGUCUUGAUUUAACCCUCAUAAGAAGCACCGGCCCACUCUGUGCCAGCCGCCGCCGUAACAC
rnacentral:rRNA from 1 species